rnacentral:rRNA from 1 species
GGUAGAUAGGUUGGAGGUGGAAGUGCAGCAAUGCAUGGAGCUGACCAAUACUAAUCGGUCGAGGGCUUAUCCAAAUA